GGGCGGAGCAAGCGUUGUUCGGAUUUAUUGGGUGUAAAGGGUGCGCAGGCGGUCGAUUAAGUCGGGAGUGAAAUGUCUACGGCUCAACCGAGAGAUUGCUUCCGAAACUGAUCGACUUGAGUACGGGAGGGGAGCGUGGAAUUCCUGGUGUAGCGGUGAAAUGCGUAGAUAUCAGGAGGAACAUCUGUGGCGAAGGCGACGCUCUGGACCGUAACUGACGCUCAGGCACGAAAGCCAGGGGAGCGAACGGGGGAUUAGAUACCCCGGUAGUCCUGGCUGUAAACGUUGGGCGCUAGGUGUGGGGGGUAUCGACCCCCCCCCCCGGUGCCGCAGCUAACGCAUUAAGCGCCUCACCUGGGGGAGUACGACCCGCAAGGUUG
rnacentral:rRNA from 1 species